UACGUAGGUGGCAAGCGUUAUCCGGAUUUAUUGGGCGUAAAGAGAACGCAGGCGGUCUUUUAAGUCUGAUGUGAAAGCCUUCGGCUUAACCGGAGUAGUGCAUUGGAAACUGGGAGACUUGAGUGCAGAAGAGGAGAGUGGAACUCCAUGUGUAGCGGUGAAAUGCGUAGAUAUAUGGAAGAACACCAGUGGCGAAAGCGGCUCUCUAGUCUGUAACUGACGCUGAGGUUCGAAAGCGUGGGUAGCAAACAGG
rnacentral:rRNA from 1 species